rnacentral:rRNA from 1 species
UACGAAGGGGGCUAGCGUUGCUCGGAAUCACUGGGCGUAAAGGGCGCGUAGGCGGGUGUUUAAGGCAGGGGGGAAAUCCUGGAGCUCAACUCCAGAACUGCCUUUGAUACUGAGGAUCUUGAGUUCGGGAGAGGUGAGUGGAACUGCGAGUGUAGAGGUGAAAUUCGUAGAUAUUCGCAAGAACACCAGUGGCGAAGGCGGCUCACUGGCCCGAUACUGACGCUGAGGCACGAAAGCGUGGGGAGCAAACAGG